rnacentral:lncRNA from 1 species
AUUAACCAAAUAUCUGGGCACCCAUGGCUCAGUCAAGUUGACAUGUGAAAUUAACCAUCACAAUGAGCAAGUGCAGCUAAUUGGCUGAGUGGUCAUGAGCCUAUUCCUUCAGAAUGUGAAAGCCUGGGAAAAGACUAACCUAUGAAAAAGCAAGGGCUAUGGAUCAAGUAUUCUUUGAAGUGCCCUGUUCACUUCAUGGUUCUGUAGAGAAUUAGAAAACUUCCAGGAGUUUCCAAGAAUGCUGAUAUCCAGUUCACCACUUUACCCACUGAAGGCCUGCGGCUAGUGACUGAGGCGGGGGUGCACCACGUCUUCAACCAAGGGCAGCACAGAAGAAGUAGAGUCCCUCUCAGCUGGAGGGUCUGAUGAUGCUUCUCUCCUCAUCAAAGCUGGAGGCAGGAGGCAGCUUCCUGUCCAUGACUCUCACCGCCUUGUCUUGGUCAUGGCAAGUUUUUAUUUGCUCCCCAAAUAGACCAGGGUUCUAUGAAUAGGCACACCCAGUUAUGAAUGGAGAGAAGCUUUAAAUCAGGAUAUUCUAACACCUUUAUUACUCACGGUCGGUAGGGACCAGAAAUAUGGAGAUUAAAGUGUCCAUCAUGUCACUAGAAUCCCUUGGGUAUAGGAUCUUACUGCGUGGCCUUAUCUUUCUUUUAUCAAAACAUACACACACAAAAGACAUUUACCUGCCACAUGCACCCCCAGGAUUUGAAAAUGGAGCACAAUAAAAAUAAGCUGACAGUGGGAGAAAGUGGCAUAUUCAUUUUCUCUGUCAUUACCUUUGAUUAUGAAAAAGCCCUGAGCAGGUGUCAGGUUUUUCCGCAGCUCUCUCAGGAAGAUCUGGGCUCCAGGUAUUUCCCACGUGAGUUCAUGGGAUGCGGGAAGAUGUAGGCACUGAAGGCCGC